CCUGCUUGCAAAGCAGGUGCUCUCCCAGCUGAGCUACGGCCCCCAAAAAAGGAUAAAGCAUUCGAAACUUUUAAAUUCGAGAUCACGAACUUGGAUCACUUUAAAAUUCAAAGUGUUUUGCAAAAUUCAAAGUGUUUUGCAAAACUUAAAGCCUUUUGUAUUUGAACCGCUUGAAGUUUCUCUUGCCUAAGCGAAAUGGAUAAGCGUCACAUUUUAAAAACAAGCCUUUUAUAAGGAGUUCUUUUAUAAGCAUGAUUUCUCAUCAUUAUAAAACUGCUACCAACACUUAAAUUCAAUGGACCGAUAAAUCGGCAAAUAAACAGAUAAAGGCAAAUGGAUAGGUAAAUUGGUGGGCCUGGGAGGACUUGAACCUCCGACCUCACGCUUAUCAAGCGCGCGCUCUAACCAACUGAGCUACAAGCCCUCCGAGAUAAACCGGAAAACCUUCCCCAGCAUUAUCUAAAAAAGCAUUAUCUAAAAAAUCUCUAUCUCAUAAAAGCACCCUUUCAAAAAACAAAGAGCUUUCCUUAAAGCUUUUGAUGAGAGCUUACUUGCAUAGACCGCCAGAAGGCUUGGGAUC
rnacentral:misc_RNA from 1 species